GAUGAACGCUAGCGGCAGGCCUAAUACAUGCAAGUCGAGGGGGAUUGGAGAGCUUGCUUUCCAUGAGACCGGCGCACGGGUGCGUAACGCGUAUGCAACCUGCCUUGAUCAGGGGGAUAGCCCGGAGAAAUCCGGAUUAACACCGCAUAAAAACACAGCGCAGCAUUGUGCAAUGUUCAAAUAUUCAUAGGAUCAAGAUGGGCAUGCGUGCCAUUAGCUGGUUGGUAGGGUAACGGCCUACCAAGGCGACGAUGGCUAGGGGAUCUGAGAGGAUGGCCCCCCACACUGGUACUGAGACACGGACCAGACUCCUACGGGAGGCAGCAGUAAGGAAUAUUGGUCAAUGGGGGCAACCCUGAACCAGCCAUGCCGCGUGCAGGAAGACAGCCCUACGGGUCGUAAACUGCUUUUGUACGGGAAUAAACCCCUCUUCGUGAAGAGGGCUGAACGUACCGUAAGAAUAAGGAUCGGCUAACUCCGUGCCAGCAGCCGCGGUAAUACGGAGGAUCCGAGCGUUAUCCGGAUUUAUUGGGUUUAAAGGGAGCGUAGGCGGCCCGCUAAGUCAGGGGUGAAAGACGGUGGCUCAACCAUCGCAGUGCCUUUGAUACUGGCGGGCUUGAAUGUAGUUGAGGUGGGCGGAAUGUGACAAGUAGCGGUGAAUGCAUAGAUAUGUCACAGAACACCGAUUGCGAAGGCAGCUCACUAAGCUAUGAUUGACGCUGAGGCUCGAAAGCGUGGGGAUCAAACAGGAUUAGAUACCCUGGUAGUCCACGCCCUAAACGAUGAUAACUCGAUGUUGGCGAUAUACAGUCAGCGUCCAAGCGAAAGCGUUAAGUUAUCCACCUGGGGAGUACGCCCGCAAGGGUGAAACUCAAAGGAAUUGACGGGGGCCCGCACAAGCGGAGGAGCAUGUGGUUUAAUUCGAUGAUACGCGAGGAACCUUACCCGGGCUUGAAAGUUACUGAAGGUCCUGGAGACAGGACAGUCCUUCGGGACAGGAAACUAGGUGCUGCAUGGCUGUCGUCAGCUCGUGCCGUGAGGUGUUGGGUUAAGUCCCGCAACGAGCGCAACCCCUAUGUUUAGUUGCCAGCACGUGAAGGUGGGGACUCUAAACAGACUGCCUACGUAAGUAGAGAGGAAGGUGGGGACGACGUCAAGUCAUCAUGGCCCUUACGUCCGGGGCUACACACGUGCUACAAUGGACGGUACAGAGGGCAGCUACCCAGCGAUGGGACGCCAAUCUCACAAAGCCGUUCACAGUUCGGAUCGGGGUCUGCAACUCGACCCCGUGAAGUUGGAUUCGCUAGUAAUCGCGUAUCAGCAAUGACGCGGUGAAUACGUUCCCGGGCCUUGUACACACCGCCCGUCAAGCCAUGGAAGUCGGGGGCGCCUAAAGUCCGUAACCGCAAGGAGCGGCCUAGGGUGAAACUGAUAACUAGGGCU
rnacentral:rRNA from 1 species